AAGAAGGGAGUUCUUUGUGAGGAGAUGGAAGACCUCCUGGAUAAACUUGAUGAACAGACAUUCAACAUUGUGUCCAACUUGCACUGAGAGGCCUGCCCAUUUUCCUGAAGAGAAGAUGCAACAGAGGUUUUCCUGAAGUGCUUAGACACUGACAUUUUGGAACCAGUGUUGAACGGUGCAUCAGGUGCCAUCCUCACCAUCCUACAAGAUGACGAU